rnacentral:rRNA from 1 species
CCUACGGGAGGCAGCAGUGAGGAAUAUUGGUCAAUGGGCGCGAGCCUGAACCAGCCAAGUCGCGUGAGGGAAGACGGUCCUAUGGAUUGUAAACCUCUUUUGUCGGGGAGCAAAAGACGCCACGCGUGGCGUUCCGAGAGUACCCGAAGAAAAAGCAUCGGCUAACUCCGUGCCAGCAGCCGCGGUAAUACGGAGGAUGCGAGCGUUAUCCGGAUUUAUUGGGUUUAAAGGGUGCGCAGGCGGAAGAUCAAGUCAGCGGUAAAAUUGAGGGGCUCAACCUCGUCGAGCCGUUGAAACUGGUUUUCUUGAGUGAGUGAGAAGUAUGCGGAAUGCGUGGUGUAGCGGUGAAAUGCAUAGAUAUCACGCAGAACUCCGAUUGCGAAGGCAGCAUGCCGGCGCUCAACUGACGCUCAUGCACGAAAGUGUGGGUAUCGAACAGGAUUAGAUACCCCAGUAGUC